rnacentral:lncRNA from 10 species
CUGUGCACUCUUUCUUCAGCUGCUUCACAUCUUCAAUCAGGAGGCUCAGAGUAUUUAAUGCUAACGCCCUAGCCUGACACAGAUAGUAACUGCAAACAGUACUGAUCAAGAGGAACUCCUAUUUUUGAAAGACUUGCCAGCAUCAAAGACCAGUUCUUCAAAUCAACCCAGUCAAAGAAAAUAAAAAAAAUGAAUUCAGAAAGUGAAAACAAAAUCUGGAAUAAAUAUGAGAAUAAGAUACCAAAUCCACAAUUUAUUGCCAUUCCUGAGAGAUAAGAAGAGAGAAUAAACAACUUGAAAAAAUAUAUUUGAGGAUGUAGUCCACAAAAUAUUUCCUAAUUUAGGUAGAUAAGUUGACACGCAAAUCCAAGAAAUACAGAGAACUGCAGUGAGAUACUAUACAAGAUGACCAUCCCCAAGGCACAUAGCCAUCAGAUUUUAAAAAGUCAAUGGAAGAGAAAGAAUCGAAAGACAGCUAGAGAGAAGUGUCACCUACAGAGGGAACCUAAUCAGGCUGGCAGUAGACCUCUCAGCAGAACCCCUACAAGGAAGAAGAGAAUGGGGACCUAUUUUCAUUGUCCUAUAAAAAUAAAAUACAACCAAGAAUUUUAUAUCCUUCCAAACUAAGUUUCAUAAGUGAAGGAGAAACACCGUUCUUCUCAGACAGAAAAAUGCUGAGGGAAUACAAUCCAAACAGACAAGCCUUAC